ensembl:snRNA U6 U6 spliceosomal RNA
GUGCUCACUUCGCAGCACAUAUACUAAAAUUGGAACAAUAUAAAGAAGACUAGCAUGGCCCCUGUGCAAGGAUGACACACAAAUUCAUGAAACAAUCUAUAUUUUU